rnacentral:rRNA from 1 species
GGGCCAAGCCUGAUGCAGCGACGCCGCGUGAGGGAUGACGGCCUUCGGGUUGUAAACCUCUUUUAUCAGGGAGCAAGCGUGAUGUGACUUUACCCGUAGAAUAAGCACCGGCUAACUACGUGCCAGCAGCCGCGGUAAUACGUAGGGUGCAAGCGUUAUCCGGAAUUAUUGGGCGUAAAGGGCUCGUAGGCGGUUCGUCGCGUCCGGUGUGAAAGUCCAUCGCUUAACGGUGGAUCCGCGCCGGGUACGGGCGGGCUUGAGUGCGGUAGGGGAGACUGGAAUUCCCGGUGUAACGGUGGAAUGUGUAGAUAUCGGGAAGAACACC